AGAUGGCGACCGGCGCACGGGUGAGUAACACGUAUCCAACCUGCCGAUAACUCGGGGAUAGCCUUUCGAAAGAAAGAUUAAUACCCGAUGGUAUAAUCAGACCGCAUGGUUUGAUUAUUAAAGAAUUUCGGUUAUCGAUGGGGAUGCGUUCCAUUAGGCAGUUGGCGAGGUAACGGCUCACCAAACCUUCGAUGGAUAGGGGUUCUGAGAGGAAGGUCCCCCACAUUGGAACUGAGACACGGUCCAA
rnacentral:rRNA from 1 species